rnacentral:rRNA from 1 species
GAUGAACGCUGGCGGCGUGCUUAACACAUGCAAGUCGAACGGAGUUUAAGAAGGAAGCUUGCUUUCAUUUUAAACUUAGUGGCGGACGGGUGAGUAACGCGUGGGCAACCUGCCUCAUACUGGGGGAUAGCAGUUGGAAACGACUGAUAAUACCGCAUAAGCGCACGGUAUCGCAUGAUACAGUGUGAAAAACUCCGGUGGUAUGAGAUGGGCCCGCGUCAGAUUAGCUAGUUGGUAAGGUAACGGCUUACCAAGGCGACGAUCUGUAGCCGGACUGAGAGGUCGGACGGCCACAUUGGGACUGAGACACGGCCCAAACUCCUACGGGAGGCAGCAGUGGGGGAUAUUGCACAAUGGAGGAAACUCUGAUGCAGCGACGCCGCGUGAGUGAAGAGUAUUUCGGUAUGUAAGCUCUAUCAGCAGGAGAAGCUCGUAGAGAGUGACGUACUGACUAAGAACCCGGCUACUACGUGCCGCACCGCGGUAUC